AUCGAGAUUUGAAGAGAAAAUAAUGGCUGAAACCUGAAAGACUGAAACUAAAAAGGACAUUUCUCUCACACACGCACAAACUCUCUUCCUGUACUGAUAUAUGUGCAUGUGCUUAUAUAAGCCUCUAUAAAUGUGAAUUUACAGUGAGCAUCAAGAACAAGGGAGAGUGAGGAGAGAUUUUCAAGAUUUGAGGGGGUGGGCUUUGAAGUUCAACUUGACAAUUGUAGAGAGAGAACUUUUGUUG
rnacentral:lncRNA from 1 species